ensembl:snoRNA
UUCCACAGCUACUGGUCUGCAGCUGAUUUCAUGAUAGCAGUUGUAGCAUUCCUCUGUGGGAAAGAAAUGACUGUACAGUUCAAUACCUCUUUCUUAGCCAAGCAGAAUGCAGUCAUAGCAUAUGUGUGACAGACACAA